AGCGGCGGACGGGUGAGUAAUGUCUGGGAAACUGCCUGAUGGAGGGGGAUAACUACUGGAAACGGUAGCUAAUACCGCAUAACGUCUUCGGACCAAAGUGGGGGACCUUCGGGCCUCAUGCCAUCAGAUGUGCCCAGAUGGGAUUAGCUUGUUGGUGGGGUAACGGCUCACCAAGGCGACGAUCCCUAGCUGGUCUGAGAGGAUGACCAGCCACACUGGAACUGAGACACGGUCCAGACUCCUACGGGAGGCAGCAGUGGGGAAUAUUGCACAAUGGGCGCAAGCCUGAUGCAGCCAUGCCGCGUGUAUGAAGAAGGCCUUCGGGUUGUAAAGUACUUUCAGCGGGGAGGAAGGUGCUGUGGUUAAUAACCGCAGCAAUUGACGUUACCCGCAGAAGAAGCACCGGCUAACUCCGUGCCAGCAGCCGCGGUAAUACGGAGGGUGCAAGCGUUAAUCGGAAUUACUGGGCGUAAAGCGCACGCAGGCGGUCUGUCAAGUCGGAUGUGAAAUCCCCGGGCUCAACCUGGGAACUGCAUCCGAAACUGGCAGGCUUGAGUCUUGUAGAGGGGGGUAGAAUUCCAGGUGUAGCGGUGAAAUGCGUAGAGAUCUGGAGGAAUACCGGGUGGCGAAGGCGGCCCCCUGGACAAAGACUGACGCUCAGGUGCGAAAGCGUGGGAGCAAACAGGGAUUAGAUACCCUGGUAG
rnacentral:rRNA from 1 species